CUGGAAACGGUAGCUAAUACCGCAUAACGUCGCAAGACCAAAGUGGGGGACCUUCGGGCCUCAUGCCAUCAGAUGUGCCCAGAUGGGAUUAGCUAGUAGGGGGGGUAACGGCUCACCUAGGCGACGAUCCCUAGCUGGUCUGAGAGGAUGACCAGCCACACUGGAACUGAGACACGGUCCAGACUCCUACGGGAGGCAGCAGUGGGGAAUAUUGCACAAUGGGCGCAAGCCUGAUGCAGCCAUGCCGCGUGUGUGAAGAAGGCCUUCGGGUUGUAAAGCACUUUCAGCGGGGAGGAAGGCGUUAAGGUUAAUAACCUCAUCGAUUGACGUUACCCGCAGAAGAAGCACCGGCUAACUCCGUGCCAGCAGCCGCGGUAAUACGGAGGGUGCAAGCGUUAAUCGGAAUUACUGGGCGUAAAGCGCACGCAGGCGGUCUGUCAAGUCGGAUGUGAAAUCCCCGGGCUCAACCUGGGAACUGCAUUC
rnacentral:rRNA from 1 species